GCCGGGCGCUGUGGCGGGUGCCUGUAAUCCCAGCUACUUGGGAGGCUGAGGCAGGAGAAUCGCUUGAACCCGGGAGGCGGAGGUUGCAGUGAGCUGAGAUCACACCACUGCACUCUAACCUGGGUGACAGAGCAAGACUCUGUCUCAA
rnacentral:SRP_RNA from 1 species